UACGGAGGAUCCGAGCGUUAUCCGGAAUCAUUGGGUUUAAAGGGUCCGUAGGCGGGCGUCUAAGUCAGUGGUGAAAUCCCGCAGCUCAACUGUGGAAUUGCCAUUGAUACUGGUCGCCUUGAAUUAGUGUGAAGUGGCUAGAAUAUGUAGUGUAGCGGUGAAAUGCUUAGAUAUUACAUAGAAUACCGAUUGCGAAGGCAGGUCACUAACACUAUAUUGACGCUGAUGGACGAAAGCGUGGGGAGCGAACAGG
rnacentral:rRNA from 1 species